rnacentral:lncRNA from 1 species
GCUAAGUACUUCGAUAAUAACGUCAAACAAACAAACGCCCCAAACACUCGAUGGGAUCCACGCCGAUUACCGCCAAAGAGAUUUUUGGCCUGAGGUCGACACAUCAUCCUCAAAAUCACACCAGGAGUUUGAGACCCAUCUGUAAAGCAGCUUACAAAAGCAGGUGUGUUUCAUUGGGUGAUGUCCUCCAUGGUUUACCCCCGUGACGAGGCUCUAGAGUGGAUGAUGCAGGAUGAAAUCGUGCUGACUACAACACUAAAUCGGUGAUCGAUUUGGAGACGCUGCAAGGGGAACAUGCUCAACUCCUCAAAACCAUUCUGGACAGCAGUCAACCAGCCGGAGCGCAGGAGAAAUCCAGACUGCUGCUGGAGGACCUGGAGGAAGACAUUGAGCUGGGCCUGGGAGAAGCACAGCGGAAACAGGAGCGCUGGAGGAAUCCACACUGCUGUUGGAGAACCUGGAGGACAUUGAGCUGGGCCUGGGAGAAGCACAGCGGAAACAGGAGCGCAGGAGGAAUCCACACUGGUGCUGGAGGACCUGGAAGAGGACAUUGAGCUGGGCCUGGGAGAAGCACAGGUUAAACA